rnacentral:rRNA from 1 species
GCCGCCGCGGUAACGACCGGCCGGCCCGAGUGGUGAUCGUGAUUAGUUGGGUACGUAAGGGUCCGUAGCCGGUUUGGUCAGUCCUCCGGGAAAUCUGAUAGCUCAACUAUUAGGCGUUCGGGGGAUACUGCCAGACUUGGAACCGGGAGAGGUAAGAGGUACUACGAGGGGUAGGAGUGAAAUCUUGUAACUCCCUGUGGGACCACCUGUGGCGAAGGCGUCUUACCAGAACGGGUUCGACGGUGAGGGACGAAAGCUGGGGGCACGAACCGGAUUAGAUACCCGGGUAGUCCCAGCCGUAAACGAUGCUCGCUAGGUGUCAGGCAUGGCGCGACCGUGUCUGGUGCCGCAGGGAAGCCGUGAAGCGAGCCACCUGGGAAGUACGGCCGCAAGGCUGAAACUUAAAAGAAUUGGCGGGGGAGCACAACAACGGGUGGAAGCCUGCGGUUUAAUUGGACUCAACGCCGGACAACUCACCGGGGGCGACAGCAAUAUGUAGGCCAAGCUGAAGACUUUGCCUGAAUCGCUGAGAAGAGGUGCAUGG